UGGGGAAUAUUGCACAAUGGAGGGAACUCUGAUGCAGCGACGCCGCGUGAACGAAGAAGGCUUUCGAGUCGUAAAGUUCUUUUAUAUGGGAAGAUAAUGACGGUACCAUAAGAAAAAGCCCCGGCUAACUACGUGCCAGCAGCCGCGGUAAUACGUAGGGGGCUAGCGUUGUCCGGAAUCACUGGGCGUAAAGGGUUCGCAGGCGGAAAUGCAAGUCAGGUGUAAAAGGCAGUAGCUUAACUACUGUAAGCAUUUGAAACUGCAUAUCUUGAGAAGAGUAGAGGUAAGUGGAAUUUUUAGUGUAGCGGUGAAAUGCGUAGAUAUUAAAAAGAAUACCGGUGGCGAAGGCGACUUACUGGGCUCAUUCUGAAGCUGAGGAACGAAAGCGUGGGUAGCAAACAGG
rnacentral:rRNA from 1 species